UAUAAUGGUUUGACCGAGUGUGCUAACGGCUGGCGCGAGUGAUGGGAGAGAGGAGAGUAAAAAAUGAUUUACUGUCGCCAACGCAGUUCACGCAGAGUUCAGGAGGAUCUGCUUGCUUGCUUGCGCAGAAGAGAAUAAUAGAGGAACGUUUGAGCUAGUCUAAGAAACAUUAUAAGAAACAGAAUAACACAGUACCAAAGAGUAACAUUUUUGUAGCAUUUAUAAAAAAUAGGCUAUUAUAUACAACCUUCAAUUUCAACUGAAGAAAACAAUUUUGAACACGAUAUUUUUCACAAUAUGCCCAAUCAGUAACUAAUACAAUAACUACACAUAAAAAUAUAUAGGCCUAUACCAAAUGUAAAAUAUUUCCAAAAAGUCAAAUGAAAAAAUAAAUAAUCUACAACACAUUUAUCAAAACAGGUUUAGCUAUACCCUACAACCUCUCCGACCAGAGUCCUAUACAGACCCUUCGAGACCAUAUCCAGCUUUAAAGUGUUGGUCAAUUCACGAGUACGAUAGCAGUCUUCCCCCACACCAAAGGAGAACCGCUGAACCACUAAUGACGGAACGUUGAUUUCCAGUAAACUGGCCCUCGCUGCACAUGCAAUGCGAGACUCACUGGUAACAGCUCAUCUACAAGUUCCUCUCAAGCUGAACAACAGAACACCGCUCUCUGGUAGAUACCUCACUCAGCUAUCACCUGGGUGGUGCAGUGGCAUGGAUCCUGUCCAAUAACAGUCAGCAGAGCCUGGCCCACCUGUUUAUGUGGGACACCCAAGGAUGUAGCUGUGUGGAACCUGGCUCUUGGGCUCCCCCUUGAUAUGACUCUAAAAGAGAGAGUCUGGCUUCAGCAGCACUUCACUCAGUCUUAUAACAAGGAACUAAAUUAUAGAAGCAAUGGCCCACCCACGUCACUACUAAAGCACAGGAAGCAUAUUCUGGCCCCUGUUGUGAACAGAGCUGCCGCUUUGGGCAACAAGGGGAGCGAGUCUUGCUGAGUUGAACCUUCCAUUGAUCAUCAGUGUUUAGGAGUAAUGCGACCCUGUUACUACCCAUGCGGGCAGAUGAGAGAACAGUCCUCUUAGGUAUACUUGGAGAGGGGCUAACUGUAUGUGCAGUGGGGUCUUCUGGUCAUCAGCCCAUUUUGGACUACCCCUCUGAGGAAUGCCAUUGACAGAACGCCAGUAAGCUCUUCAGCUCUAUGGACCCUGAUCUGUUUUUGUCAUGUUCAUUUGACAACAGAGUAUUCAGAGAUUAAACACACACACACAGAGACUGCAUAUUGUAGUUAGAAAAUGAUAUUUUAUUCGAAGUCAGUUGUGUUUAUUCAAACAUAACUACAGUACCAGUGAGUGGUUUUCUCAUUAAGAUAGGCCGCAUUGUUUUUUGCAACAGUGUUUUAAGAUAUUCAAAUAAAAUACAAAAACAAUGUGUAUGGUAAACUUAGCAUUUGUAUUUUAUGUGAUUUAAUACAAUCAAUUAAUAUGACAAUUAACUGGAAAUGACAGUUUGUUGUUCAGAAUGUAAAAUAGUUGAUCAUUUAUUUUUUUCCUUAUGUGUUGAUAAUAUGUCUCCAGACUGUAUCAUUUAGGGAAUGCCAUGCCUUUGUGUCAGAUGUGGGACCAACAACAUCAUCAUAAAGUAACAUACAACACAGUUAGCUGGUGAUUCAGUGCAUAUCAGCCUAUGCUACACGGUCACCUUUGCAAUCAAAUCCGUAUUUGUCCCUCAGUUUUCUUUUUAGUGUAGCCUGAUGCUUUUAUGUGAAUAAUUACCACAAAUGAAUGUAUUUUCUGAGAAUAUGUCAAGUAAAUUAUGAUUGUCAGAUAAGUACAA